rnacentral:pre_miRNA from 17 species
GUGACAGAAGAGAGUGAGCACACGUGGUUGUUUCCUUGCAUAAAUGAUGCCUAUGCUUGGAGCUACGCGUGCUCACUUCUCUCUCUGUCAC